rnacentral:rRNA from 1 species
AGGAAAGCAGGGGAUCGCAAGACCUUGCGCUCUUGGAGCGGCCGAUGUCUGAUUAGCUAGUUGGUGAGGUAAAGGCUUACCAAGGCGACGAUCAGUAGCUGGUCUGAGAGGACGACCAGCCACACUGGGACUGAGACACGGCCCAGACUCCUACGGGAGGCAGCAGUGGGGAAUUUUGGACAAUGGGGGAAACCCUGAUCCAGCCAUGCCGCGUGAGUGAAGAAGGCCUUCGGGUUGUAAAGCUCUUUCAGCCGGAACGAAACGGUCACGGCUAAUACCUGUGACCACUGACGGUACCGGAAGAAGAAGCACCGGCUAACUACGUGCCAGCAGCCGCGGUAAUACGUAGGGUGCAAGCGUUAAUCGGAAUUACUGGGCGUAAAGCGUGCGCAGGCGGUUUUGUAAGUCAGAUGUGAAAUCCCCGGGCUUAACCUGGGAACUGCGUUUGAAACUACAAAGCU